rnacentral:rRNA from 1 species
GCUUGACUAGCUGAGAGGAGGUGCAUGGCCGUCGUCACGUUCGUACUGUGAAGCAUCCUGUUAAGUCAGGCAACGAGCGAGACCCACGCCAACAGUUGCCAGCAUGUCCUCCGGGAUGAUGGGGGACACUGUUGGGACCGCCUCUGCUAAAGAGGAGGAAGGAAUGGGCAACGGUAGGUCAGCAUGCCCCGAAUUAUCCGGGCUACACGCGGGCUACAAUGGUCAGGACAAUGGGUAUCGACACCGAGAGGUGGAGGCAAUCUCCUAAACCUGUCCUUAGUUCGGAUUGUGGGCUGCAACUCGCCCACAUGAAGCUGGAAUCCGUAGUAAUCGCGUUUCAAAAUAGCGCGGUGAAUAUGUCCCCUGCUCCCUU